CAGUCGCCGCGGUAAUACAGAGGAUGCAGGCGUUAUCCGGAAUGAUUGGGCGUAAAGCGUCUGUAGGUGGCUUUUCAAGUCCGCUGUCAAAUCCCAGGGCUCAACCCUGGACAGGCGGUGGAAACUACCAAGCUAGAGUACGGUAGGGGCAGAGGGAAUUUCCAGUGGAGCGGUGAAAUGCGUUGAGAUCGGAAAGAACACCAACGGCGAAAGCACUCUGCUGGGCCGACACUGACACUGAGAGACGAAAGCUAGGGGAGCAAAUGGGAUUAGAUACCCGGGUAGUCCCUGUCUCUUAUAC
rnacentral:rRNA from 1 species